UACGGGGGGGGGCAAGCGUUGUUCGGAAUUACUGGGCGUAAAGGGCUCGUAGGUGGCCAACUAAGUCUGACGUGAAAUCCCUCGGCUUAACCGGGGAACUGCGUCCGAUACUGGUUGGCUUGAGUUUGGGAGAGGGAUGCGGAAUUCCAGGUGUAGCGGUGAAAUGCGUAGAUAUCUGGAGGAACACCGGUGGCGAAGGCGGCAUCCUGGACCAAUACCGACGCUGAGGAGCGAAAGCCAGGGGAGCAAACGGG
rnacentral:rRNA from 1 species